rnacentral:rRNA from 1 species
UUGCCCUAGUAACGGCGAGUGAAGCGGCAACAGCUCAAAUUUGAAAUCUGGCUUCGGCCCGAGUUGUAAUUUGUAGAGGGAGCUUUUGGCGAGGCACCUACUGAGUCCCCUGGAACGGGGCGCCAUAGAGGGUGAGAGCCCCGUAUAGUAGGACGCCGAGCCUUUGUAAAGCCCCUUCGACGAGUCGAGUAGUUUGGGAAUGCUGCUCAAAAUGGGAGGUAAAUUUCUUCUAAAGCUAAAUAUUGGCCAGAGACCGAUAGCGCACAAGUAGAGUGAUCGAAAGAUGAAAAGCACUUUGAAAAGAGGGUUAAACAGCACGUGAAAUUGUUGAAAGGGAAGCGCUUGUGACCAGACUUGCGCCUGGCUGAUCAUCCGGUGUUCUCACCGGUGCACUCGGCCAGGCUCAGGCCAGCAUCGGUUCUCGCGGGGGGAUAAAGACCUGGGGAACGUAGCUCCUCCGGGAGUGUUAUAGCCCUGGGUGCAACGCCCUCGCGGGGACCGAGGUUCGCGCAUCUGCAAGGAUGCUGGCGUAAUGGUCAUCAGCGACCCGUCUUGAAACACGGACCAAGGAGUCAAGGUUUUGCGCGAGUGUUUGGGUGUUAAACCCGCACGCGUAAUGAAAGUGAACGUAGGUGAGAGCUUCGGCGCAUCAUCGACCGAUCCUGAUGUUUUCGGAUGGAUUUGAGUAGGAGCGUUAAGCCUUGGACCCGAAAGAUGGUGAACUAUGCUUGGAUAGGGUGAAGCCAGAGGAAACUCUGGUGGAGGCUCGCAGCGGUUCUGACGUGCAAAUCGAUCGUCAAAUCUGAGCAUGGGGGCGAAAGACUAAUCGAACCAUCUAGUAGCUGGUUACCGCCGAAGUUUCCCUCAGGAUAGCAGUGUUGUUCUUCAGUUUUAUGAGGUAAAGCGAAUGAUUAGGGACUCGGGGGCGCUUUUUAGCCUUCAUCCAUUCUCAAACUUUAAAUAUGUAAGAAGCCCUUGUUACUUAAUUGAACGUGGGCAUU